GAGAAGAGAACGCUCCAUGGUGACCUCACAGAAGCUGUUCAGUACCUAAAGGAGAGGUACAGGAAAGAAGGGGACAGACUCUUUAACAGGGUCUGUUGUGAUAGAAAAAGGGGAAAUGGUUUCAAGCUUAAAGAGGGUAGAUUUAGUUUAGAUAUCAGGAAAAAGUCUUUUACAGUUGAGGGUGGUGAGGUACUGGAAGAGUUUGCCCAGAGAUAUGGUGGAUUCCCUAUCUUUGGAGACUUUCAAGAAAAUUUUGUAUGGAUGGGAAGAGAGGACUCUGGACACCAGUCCUAGAUUUCAGAUCUCCAGUGGUCAGCUAAGGACAGAAGCCUCCUGGAACCUGCCUGAAGCCCUGAUCGACAUCCUUUACAGAUGCAAAGCUCAGCUCUGAUGAACGCACUUGUGGGGUAUAUCAGAUGUACAGCCUGUGUUUGAGGCAGAGAAUCAGUGCUUCCUCAGCAAGCUCACGUCAUGGAAGAGACCUCUGGUUUACUCAGCACGUAUCUGUCACUUGAGCAGCAGAUGGGCAGCAGACCACGUACACCCUGGCCAUGGCCAGCUCCCUGGGAUUCUUCAUGAACCUUUAACUCCGAAAUCUGGAACAGAAAUAUGGCAGGCUUAUAAUAUAGGUACACACAAAGUAAGUAUCAAGAGGAAUAAAUAACGCUGUAAAAAGCCCUGCUCGGGGCUCAUGCA